rnacentral:rRNA from 1 species
AACGAACGCUGGCGGCAUGCCUAACACAUGCAAGUCGAACGAUGCUUUCGGGCAUAGUGGCGCACGGGUGCGUAACGCGUGGGAAUCUGCCCUUGGGUUCGGAAUAACAGUGAGAAAUUGCUGCUAAUACCGGAUGAUGUCUUCGGACCAAGGAUUUAUCGCCCAGGGAUGAGCCCGCGUAGGAUUAGCUAGUUGGUGGGGUAAUGGCCUACCAAGGCGACGAUCCUUAGCUGGUCUGAGAGGAUGAUCAGCCACACUGGGACUGAGACACGGCCCAGACUCCUACGGGAGGCAGCAGUGGGGAAUAUUGGACAAUGGGCGCAAGCCUGAUCCAGCAAUGCCGCGUGAGUGAUGAAGGCCUUAGGGUUGUAAAGCUCUUUUACCCGGGAUGAUAAUGACAGUACCGGGAGAAUAAGCUCCGGCUAACUCCGUG